rnacentral:rRNA from 1 species
UACAGAGGGUGCGAGCGUUAAUCGGAAUGACUGGGCGUAAAGGGCGCGUAGGUGGUUAGUUAAGAUUGAGGUGAAAUCCCUGGGCUUAACCUAGGAACGGCCCCGAUGACUGGCUAGCUUGAGUACUGUAGAGGGUAGUGGAAUUUCCGGUGUAGCGGUGAAAUGCGUAGAGAUCGGAAGGAACACCUGUGGCGAAAGCGGCUCACUGGACCACAACUGACGCUGAGGCGCGAAAGCUAGGGGAGCAAACAGG